AAACCAGAAAAACACGAUCAGGAACACACUCUCGGAUAAGCAUCAAAGGGAAACCAGGACAGGGCACUGAUCAAAAGGCAAUUUGGGUUUAAAUAACCCGCUAGAAGCUGUAAUUGGCUGUAUGUGUCCUCUGACACUAAAACAUGCGUGCACGUCUAUGAUGCGACGUCACACGUAAGCACCAUCUUUAAAAUGGACAAAG